UACGAAGGGGGCUAGCGUUGCUCGGAAUCACUGGGCGUAAAGGGCGCGUAGGCGGCCGGCCAAGUCGGGGGUGAAAGCCUGUGGCUCAACCACAGAAUGGCCCUCGAUACUGGCUGGCUCGAGACCGGAAGAGGUUGGUGGAAUUGCGAGUGUAGAGGUGAAAUUCGUAGAUAUUCGCAAGAACACCAGUGGCGAAGGCGGCUCACUGGCCCGGACUACGUGACGC
rnacentral:rRNA from 1 species